GAUGAACGCUGACAGAAUGCUUAACACAUGCAAGUCAACUGUGGCGGACGGGUGAGUAACGCGUAAAGAACUUGCCUCACAGCUAGGGACAACAUUUGGAAACGAAUGCUAAUACCUGAUACUGUGAGAGAGCUUUGCGUCCCAUUAGCUAGUUGGAGAGGUAACGGCUCACCAAGGCGAUGAUGGGUAGCAGGCCUGAGAGGGUGAUCGGCCACAAGGGGACUGAGACACGGCCCGUAGUCCGACGGGAGGCAGCAGUGGGGAAUAGUGGACAAUGGACCAAAGUCUGAUCCAGCAAUUCUGGGUGCACGAUGAAGUUUUCGGAAUGUAAAGUGCUGUCAGUUGGGAAGCGGUACCAACAGAAGAAGUGACGGCUAAAUACGUGCCAGCAGCCGCGGUAAUUC
rnacentral:rRNA from 1 species